AUUGAACGCUGGCGGCAGGCUUAACACAUGCAAGUCGAGCGAGCGGCGGACGGGUGAGUAAUGUCUGGGAAACUGCCUGAUGGAGGGGGAUAACUACUGGAAACGGUAGCUAAUACCGCAUACCAUCAGAUGUGCCCAGUGGGGAUUAGCUAGGAGGUGGGGUAAUGGCUCACCUAGGCGACGAUCCCUAGCUGGGCUGAGAGGAUGACCGGCCACACUGGAACUGGGACACGGUCCAGACUCCUACGGGAGGCAGCAGUGGGGAAUAUUGCAAAAUGGGCGCAAGCCUGAUGCAGCCAUGCCGCGUGUGUGAAGAAGGCCUUCGGGUUGUAAAGCACUUUCAGCGAGGAGGCGUUGCUCGCAGAAGAGGGACCGGCUAACUCCGUGCCAGCAGCCGCGUAAUUC
rnacentral:rRNA from 1 species